GGAAGGGUGGCUCAGUGGUAGAGCGCUGCCAGCCAACGUGCCAGAACUCGGCCUGGCAGUUUCCCAUGCAGGGCUCCGCGUGGUUCGAAUCCCGCCCCUUCCA
rnacentral:tRNA from 2 species